rnacentral:rRNA from 1 species
AACGUAGGUUCCGAGCGUUAUCCGGAUUUACUGGGCGUAAAGCGCGUUCAGGCGGUUUGGCAAGUCGGGCAUGAAAUCUCUCGGCUCAACCGGGAGAGGUUGUCCGAUACUUCCAGACUUGAGGGCAGUAGAGGGUGGUGGAAUUCCGGGUGUAGUGGUGAAAUGCGUAGAUAUCCGGAGGAACACCAGUGGCGAAAGCGGCCACCUGGACUGCACCUGACGCUGACACGUGAAAGCUAGGGGAGCGAACGGG